UACGUAGGGUGCAAGCGUUGUCCGGAAUUAUUGGGCGUAAAGAGCUCGUAGGCGGUUUGUCGCGUCGAAUGUGAAAACCCGGGGCUCAACCCCGGGCCUGCAUUCGAUACGGGCAGACUAGAGUUCGGUAGGGGAGUCUGGAAUUCCUGGUGUAGCGGUGAAAUGCGCAGAUAUCAGGAGGAACACCGGUGGCGAAGGCGGGGCUCUGGGCCGAUACUGACGCUGAGACGCGAAAGCGUGGGGAGCGAACAGG
rnacentral:rRNA from 1 species